UACGUAGGGGGCGAGCGUUGUCCGGAAUCAUUGGGCGUAAAGAGCGUGUAGGCGGACUUAAAGGUCUGGUGUGAAAGCCCUGGGCUCAACCCAGGAAGUGCACUCGAAACUGUCAGGCUUGAAUAUGGAAGAGGGUCGCGGAAUUCCCGGUGUAGAGGUGAAAUUCGUAGAUAUCGGGAGGAACACCAGUGGCGAAGGCGGCGACCUGGGCCAAUAUUGACGCUGAGGUGCGAAAGCGUGGGGAGCAAACAGG
rnacentral:rRNA from 1 species